rnacentral:rRNA from 1 species
GACGAACGCUGGCGGCGCGCCUAAUACAUGCAAGUAGAACGCACAGGAUGCACCGUAGUUUACUACACCGUAUUCUGUGAGUUGCGAACGGGUGAGUAACGCGUAGGUAACCUGCCUGGUAGCGGGGGAUAACUAUUGGAAACGAUAGCUAAUACCGCAUAAGAACAUUUACUGCAUGGUAGAUGUUUAAAAGGUGCAAAUGCAUCACUACCAGAUGGACCUGCGUUGUAUUAGCUAGCAGGUGAGGUAACGGCUCACCUAGGCGACGAUACAUAGCCGACCUGAGAGGGUGAUCGGCCACACUGGGACUGAGACACGGCCCAGACUCCUACGGGAGGCAGCAGUAGGGAAUCUUCGGCAAUGGGGGGAACCCUGACCGAGCAACGCCGCGUGAGUGAAGAAGGUUUUCGGAUCGUAAAGCUCUGUUGUUAAGGAAGAACGAGUGUGAGAAUGGAAAGUUCAUACUGUGACGGUACUUAACCAGAAAGGGACGGCUAACUACGUGCCAGCAGCCGCGGUAAUACGUAGGUCCCGAGCGUUGUCCGGAUUUAUUGGGCGUAAAGCGAGCGCAGGCGGUUAGAUAAGUCUGAAGUUAAAGGCAGUGGCUCAACCAUUGUAGGCUUUGGAAACUGUUUAACUUGAGUGCAGAAGGGGAGAGUGGAAUUCCAUGUGUAGCGGUGAAAUGCGUAGAUAUAUGGAGGAACACCGGUGGCGAAAGCGGCUCUCUGGUCUGUAACUGACGCUGAGGCUCGAAAGCGUGGGGAGCGAACAGG